rnacentral:rRNA from 1 species
UUCUGGUUGAUCCUGCCGGAGGCUACCGCUAUUGGAGUUCGAUUAAGCCAUGCGAGUCGAGAGUCUUAGGGACUCGGCGUACCGCUCAGUAACACGUGGGUAACCUGCCCUAUGCUGGGGAAUAACCUCGGGAAACUGAGAAUAAUACCCCAUAGUUCACCACGCCUGGAACGGUGGGUGGAUGAAAGCUCCGGCGGCAUAGGAUGGGCCUGCGACGUAUCAGGUUGUAGGGGGUGUAACGUACCCUCUAGCCAUCAACGCGUACGGGUGUUGGGAGACAUAGCCCGGAGAUGGAUUCUGAGACACGAAUCCAGACCCUACGGGGUGCAGCAGGCGCGAAAACUUGGCAAUGCGAGCAAUCGUGACCAGGGAACUCCAAGUGGCUGGGGUAAUACCCAGUUUUUUCUUGACUCUUCAAAGGUCUUGGAAUAAGGGGUGGGUAAGGACGGUGCCAGCCGCCGCGGUAAUACCGGCGCCUCAAGUGGUAGUCGCUUUUAUUGGGCCUAAAACGUCCGUAGCCGGUCUGGUGCAUUCGUGGGUAAAUCAACCCGCUCAACGGGUUGAAUUCUGCGAGCACGGCCAGACUUGGGACC